UAUGGUGUUGGUGUAAAUUUCACGCCCCCCUCCCCACUCAUGUCUCCUGUUGUUUUUAUUCGCUCAGCUUCUCCAACGAUGGAGGUGAUCGGAAAUCCUGCCACCACCACCCCACCCCCGACAGCUGCUGUGGGUACCAGGCCCUCCACUGCCCAAAGUCUGGCGAUGCCAGGCACCACCUCUGCAGCGCAUGCCCCAGCCGAGCCAGCUGGAAUCACAGCGGCAGAGAGCACAGGAACAGACCCAGAAGCUCCAGCACGCUCCACCACAGACCCUGCCAUCCCAGUGCCAAGUGAGACCCCAGAUCUACUGGACACCAUGACAGCAGACACGGCCACUGGAGCAGCCAUCAUCACUAGCCAGCAUGGUCCAAGCACAGCCGCCGAAGCCACUGCCACCGCAGCAGAGGCCAGCCCAGCAGCCCGAGCUACCCUCGCACCAUCUGAAACCACCCUAGCGGGCAGCACAGUGGCAGAUGAGAGACUCUUGGCACCCUCGCUCAGUUCUGUGCCAGCUGAAAUCCCCAGUGCAGCUGCAGAGACCCGCUCCCCGGCCCCUUUUACCCUCACACCGACUGGAACCAAUACUUCUGUGGCCACCACUCCAGCCACAGAGACCACCCGAAAGGGCACCCUCGCGAUGGAGAACACAACCAGACCAACAACGGAUCCCACUCCUGGAGCAAUGAUAAGCACAGCCUAUCCGUUCUCUACAGCAGCUGUAUCUAGGUAUAUGGCACCAGGGACAAACACAACCACACAGGAUACCCCCUCAGCGGCUCUAACUACACCUAGAGUGCAAUCCACACCAAAUGCAACCCUAGCUUUACUGGGCACCAGCUCGGCAGCAGAGACCACCAGAGCCACUCCUGCCAUCACCCCACCCCGAGGAACCACAAAGACGUUGACCCUGACCGCAGAAAGCCAGCACGUCCCCACGCCAGCCCAGGGGUAUGUCCCCACAGUGAUAGAAACCAGCCCCUCAUUGCUUGUCACCCUCACCCCACCGAGCGUGAGUACCACGGCUGUUCAGACCACUGCACCAACAUCUGUCACUACGUCCCCGACGAAAACAGCAUCCACAGUGGGCUCCAGCACAGAGACACUCAUCAGCAGCACAACAGCUAAUACCACAACCGCCGUCAGCACCACUGCAGCAACAGAGGUUCCACGAACAGUCCGUGCUACCACUGUCCCAGCCGGAAACAUGACGGCUACAUUCCCAGCUGAACCGAGCACUCCUGCAACUCAGAACUUCAGCACAGCUCCAACCACGGGAUCCGCUGCUAACCCAAACUCCACUGCCCUGCCCUGGGUCCCAGGUGUCCCGACAGAAGAGCAGACGACAGCGCUGCCCCCCUGCCAUCCUCCAGCUGCCAACCCAACUGAUGCACGCCUCUUCCUAUCGCUGGGACUGACCACUCACCUGAACCUCAGCCAGCCCCAGGUCAGGGAUAUGGUUUUGUCCAAGCUUGAGCAAGACCUAAAUAUGAAGUUCCCAUGCACCGGGUUCACUGUCCUCUGGAAAGGAGAAGGCGAAAAGUGAGCAGCAAUUCCGCUGGCCCCCAAGGAACCGACAGCUUCGUGUCUGGGUGCCGCGGUGAGCGGGACAAAGGCCAUGGCAUGAAAGGGGACCAUACGGCUGCUGCUACGUGUGCUCAUCGACUCCGGAGUGGAAACCCCACCUGGAGGAUACAGGUUUAACCCCAGAGAAGAAAUCUCUCUUCUGCAUGCCGAGACCUCAGGCUUUCUUUUGCCAUAACCCUCCUGGACUGUUUCUCAAAGGCCCUGGGAGAUUCCAUAGACAGUAAGAAUUCAGAAAAGAGGUGAAUGCCCUUUAAAGGUCCCAGUGAAGAUGAAAAAUGUCAGGUCUGGAGAUUUCCCCUCUUCCUGUAUGAAAGGAGCCAAUGCUUUGAAUUGCAAGCUCUUGGGACUGUCUCUUACUAUAUAUCCGUACAUCCUAGCACCAUAUCUCAGUCACAGCCAUGAGGCCUUGCUGUCAGAUAAUUGGUAAUAUUGGGAUCUUGGUGGGGGAACAGCAAGUGGAGGCUCUGACUCCUGCUGUAUUACAGCUGUCCAGGUGCAGGCGAAUCCUGCAUGCCCAGUAUAAAAGGGGUUGUUUUUUUCCAAUUCUGCAGGAUCCUUUACUGGAUUUUUCCAGUCCCAGCUGAGCAGUUUGUCCCCCUCACAGAAACAAGUGAAACUAGUAAUUCAUUAACUGGUUAAUGAGCCAGAUAAAGUCACACUAAAACAAUGAUUAGUUAGAGCAAUUUUUUAAACAUUCCCCUUGUUUUAAAAACUUCAGAAAACCAGAAUUUUGGGAGUUUCAAGACCAAAUCAAAUAAUAAUUUUGGUUUUUAUUUAAUCCCUGGCUUAGCACUGGAUUCAGACUCGAGAUAGGGUGUAACAUUUUUUAACUGUGAGAGUAAUUACCUACUGGAACGAUUUACCCAGGGUCGCGGGGAGUCUCCAUCACUGGCAAUUUUUAAAUCACAAUUGGACGGUUCUCUAAAAUAUCUGCUCCCAGAAUUCUCUGAGGGAUGUUCUAUGGCUUGUGUUACGCAGGAGGUCAGACAAGCUGGGUUUCUCUUCCAACCUCCAAGCCCAGGGAGCAAAGCUGCUGGUUCUGAUUCUCUCCCACAUCAUGCUGCAUAUAGAAAACACAGAAGACCUCCUUAUGUAAACUGAGGUAGAACCUGUGUUCCCAGCCAGGAGCCCGGCUAGUGCCCUCUCAGGGACUAGGGCUGCUUGCCUGUGUUGUUUGCACUCUCCACACUCUCUUUACCUCCACCAUCCCUUUAAAGGUAAACAGCUCCAAUAGGUGGGCUGGCCCUAAGUGGUAGGUUUUCCAGGGCCCUAGGCUAAGUGACACAUAGAAUCAUAGGACUGGAAGGGACCGUGAGAGGUCGUCUAGUCCAGUCUUCUGCAUUCACGGCAGGACUAAGUAUUAUCUGGACCAUCCCUGACAGGUGUUUGUCCAACCUGCUCUUAAAAAUCCCCAGUGAUGGAGACUCCACAACCUCCCUAGGCAGUUUAUUCCAGUGCUUAGCCACCCUGACAGGAAGUUUUUCCUAAUGUCCAACCUAAACCAUCCUUGCUGCAAUUUAAGCCCAUUGCUUCUUCUCCCUCCUUUUCCCCCACCUUUUUGUAACAACCUUUUAUGUACUUGAAAACUGUUCUCAUGUCCCCUCUCAGUUGUCUCUUCUCCAUACUAAACAAACCCAUUUUUUUCAAUCUUCCCUCAUAGGUCAUGUUUUCNGUGAGAGGUCGUCUAGUCCAGUCUUCUGCAUUCACGGCAGGACUAAGUAUUAUCUGGACCAUCCCUGACAGGUGUUUGUCCAACCUGCUCUUAAAAAUCCCCAGUGAUGGAGACUCCACAACCUCCCUAGGCAGUUUAUUCCAGUGCUUAGCCACCCUGACAGGAAGUUUUUCCUAAUGUCCAACCUAAACCAUCCUUGCUGCAAUUUAAGCCCAUUGCUUCUUCUCCCUCCUUUUCCCCCACCUUUUUGUAACAACCUUUUAUGUACUUGAAAACUGUUCUCAUGUCCCCUCUCAGUUGUCUCUUCUCCAUACUAAACAAACCCAUUUUUUUCAAUCUUCCCUCAUAGGUCAUGUUUUCUAGACCUUUAAUCAUUUUUAAAAGCAGCAAAGAGUCCUGGGCACCUUAUAGACUAACAGACGUAUUGGAGCAUGAGCUUUUGUGGAUGAAUACCCACUUCGUUGGAUGCAUCAUUUUGUUCGCUCUUCUCUUUACUUUCUCCAGUUUGUUCACAUCUUUCCUGAAAUGUGGCACUCAGAACUGGACACAAUACUCCAGCUGAGGCCUAAUCUCCAUGCAAUAGAGUGGAAGAAUUACUUCUUGUGUCUCGCUUACAACACUCUUGCUAAUACAUCCCAGAAUGACGUUGGCUUAUGACGUUGGCUUUUUUUGCAACAGUGUUACACUGUUGACUCAUAUUUACCAUGUGAUCAACUACGACCCCUUUCCGCAGUGCUCCUUCCUAGUCAGUCAGUUUCCAUUUUGUAUGUGUGCAACUGAUCGUCCCUUCCUAAGGGGAAUACUUUGCAUUUUUCCUUAUUGAAUUUCAUCCAUUCCUUCAUGGGGCUGUAUCCAGGUUCCAUCCCAUUUACACCUUCAUCUCCCACAUCUCUGUGCUCACAGCAGCUUCUCUGGGUGCCGGGGACCUCAGGCUGUGGAACGAAUAGAGGCUGUGGUUGAGUAUCUGUGUUCCCCUUUGGGUGUAGGCCAGUCUAAGAAGGGGAUUGCCUAUUUGCCUAGAAUCAUACGCAGCGGAGUCAAAAUAAACAAAAAGUUUAUUUGUAGGGCUGUCA
ensembl:lncRNA